CCUAUACAUGCAAGUCGAGCGGACAGAUGGGAGCUUGCUCCCUGAUGUUAGCGGCGGACGGGUGAGUAACACGUGGGUAACCUGCCUGUAAGACUGGGAUAACUCCGGGAAACCGGGGCUAAUACCGGAUGGUUGUCUGAACCGCAUGGUUCAGACAUAAAAGGUGGCUUCGGCUACCACUUACAGAUGGACCCGCGGCGCAUUAGCUAGUUGGUGAGGUAACGGCUCACCAAGGCGACGAUGCGUAGCCGACCUGAGAGGGUGAUCGGCCACACUGGGACUGAGACACGGCCCAGACUCCUACGGGAGGCAGCAGUAGGGAAUCUUCCGCAAUGGACGAAAGUCUGACGGAGCAACGCCGCGUGAGUGAUGAAGGUUUUCGGAUCGUAAAGCUCUGUUGUUAGGGAAGAACAAGUGCCGUUCAAAUAGGGCGGCACCUUGACGGUACCUAACCAGAAAGCCACGGCUAACUACGUGCCAGCAGCCGCGGUAAUACGUAGGUGGCAAGCGUUGUCCGGAAUUAUUGGGCGUAAAGGGCUCGCAGGCGGUUUCUUAAGUCUGAUGUGAAAGCCCCCGGCUCAACCGGGGAGGGUCAUUGGAAACUGGGGAACUUGAGUGCAGAAGAGGAGAGUGGAAUUCCACGUGUAGCGGUGAAAUGCGUAGAGAUGUGGAGGAACACCAGUGGCGAAGGCGACUCUCUGGUCUGUAACUGACGCUGAGGAGCGAAAGCGUGGGGAGCGAACAAGAUUAGAUACCCUGGUAG
rnacentral:rRNA from 1 species